AGACUUCUGCUUUUAAAUUCCCCAGCCUACAGUAAUUGAGUGAAUAAAUCAAUGAAUGAGCGAAUCACUGAAUCAAUGAAUGAAGAAGUUAAGAAGAUUUUAAGGAUAUGUCUAUUCCAAAUGGAUUUUAGGACACAUUAGAAGAAAGAUUGCAAGAGACAUAAAAAUAGACCUUUAGUCCAGAGGUACCCACCAAGCCUGUGCCGUUCUCCAGCACCACAGAAUUCUUCAGCAACCCUCUCUUCCCUAGUGUCUCCUGAAUUUGACCUCGAGGGGCUUGCUCUCACACUUUCUGAGAACUCUGGAAUUAAAAGGAUCAUAGUCAUAAGGAUCUUGGUCUUUAAAUAUCCACACGAUAGAAUCAUAAAGUUUUGGCAGUUUGUCAAAAUAAAUUUAGAGCCCUUAGAAAUGCUUUAUUUUUCUUGACUCACUAAAGGAUUGGCAUGGUUUUUCAAGGUUCGGAAAGAGGGUAACAGGCCUGAAAGAGCAGGACGCUCAGCUUAUGACCCCAAUAUAGCUUCUAGUUCCUGGGCAUCUUGGAAUCAUGGUGAUGCUGAGGUAUUCUUGAAACAAUGCUACAAGUCUUUGGCACAACUAAUAUUUGUAUUGUUAUCAGAUAUAAAUUCAUAGAGAUUUUUUAGCUCUGAUUUAUCCAAUUGCUUAUCACAUAAAACAUCUUCAAUAUAUAGCAUCCAAUAUACGAAAACCUGGUGGGGUUUCUCUAGGUGAAACCCACUAAAACUGAGGUCCCUGUGAGUUUCUUACUGUAAAGCCAGUCCCCACUGUCUCCAUAAAUUCUUCAAAGCUACUGUUUAAGUAUUUAUGUCAGUUUAUGGCUCCAGGUAAGGUGAUCUGGGCUGUGAUUCUGUAUAUUCAUCUAUCUGCCCAGAUUUCAGGAUGGUGGUUUGCCCUAUGGCCUCAAUUCUCUGAAGGGUUCAAGAAAAGUCAUUGAUUUUCAAUUUGUUUGCUAUUUUCUUGUUAUCAGAAUGGGAGUGAUAACUUUCAAGUUCUUUACAUGUCAGAGCUGAAACCAGAAUGCUUCCAGGACUUUUCAUAUGUAAAGUGGAAAAAGCAAUAACUUUCUGCAUGGUUUGUUGAAAGGAAAACAGCUAUGACAGUGUCUUGCAUGUAGUUGUUGCUAGGCAAUUAAUUUCUGAACUCCAUCAUAUUGCAUGUAAAUAAACUGAAAUCCUUGUGGCUUUUUAAUCA
rnacentral:lncRNA from 1 species